rnacentral:rRNA from 1 species
AUCAUUAACAAUCUUACAAUCCCAACGCGUGGCAUACACUCACUGAGCGCUGCAAGGUGCCAGCUGGGCUGUACGUCCAUGUCGUGCCGAUUACAUCCACUCUGUGAAACUUCCACUGUUGCUUCCAUGCGUAUUCCGGCCCUUGGGGUUGGCGCAUGGGACUACAAUCCAACACCGCGUUCUGUUGUUCAAGUCUGAGUGGUAAUCCACAACCAUAACAAGUUAAAACUUUCAACAACGGAUCUCUUGGUUCUCGCAUCGAUGAAGAACGCAGCGAAAUGCGAUAAGUAAUGUGAAUUGCAGAAUUCAGUGAAUCAUCGAAUCUUUGAACGCACAUUGCGCCUUCUGGUAUUCCGGGAGGCAUGCCUGUUCGAGCGUCAUGAAAAGCAUCCUCAAGCAAACUUUUGCUUGGUUGUGGAAGAAGAUGGCUCCCAUCUCUUCUGGAAACCCUCAGCAGAAGGCCUUGCAACCUCCAGUGUGAUAAAACCUAUUCACUUGAUGGUUACAAAGUUUUCUGGCUGUACAGAAAGCCCCCCCCAGCAUUUUUCUACAUGUUUGACCUCGGAUCAGGUAGGGAUACCCGCUGAACUUAAGCAUAUCAAUAAGCGGAGGAAAAGAAACCAACCGGGAUUGCCUUAGUAACUGCGAGUGAAGCGGCAAAAGCUCAAAUUUGAAAUCCAGUACCCUUGGGUGCUCGAGUUGUAAUUUGGAGAGGCAACUUCGGAGAGGGCGUUGGCCUAAGUUCCUUGGAACAGGACGUCACAGA